rnacentral:lncRNA from 1 species
UUUAAUUGGCAACUUUAUGGUCCAUAUUACUAAGAAUACAAACUUUACAGUAUGUUUAUUCAAUUACAUCUUUAUUAUGUUUAAAUCAGUAAGUAUUACCUACUUUUCCCUGUUCUGGGUCUUCAUAUGUUUUGACUUUAGUAUUUUACUUACAAUUAAUGAUUCAUUCCAUGAAGCACGCAAGGCUUUUACAUUAUAUUGCUAACACCCAG